GACGGGUGAGUAACGCGUCGGGUAACCUUCCUGUACACACGGAUAACAUACCGAAAGGUAUGCUAAUACGAGAUAAUAUGCUUUUUAUCGCAUGGUAGAAGUAUCAAAGCUUUUGCGGUACAGGAUGGACCCGCGUCUGAUUAGCUAGUUGGUAAGGUAACGGCUUACCAAGGCGACGAUCAGUAGCCGACCUGAGAGGGUGAUCGGCCACAUUGGAACUGAGACACGGUCCAAACUCCUACGGGAGGCAGCAGUGGGGGAAUAUUGCACAAUGGGCGAAAGCCUGAUGCAGCAACGCCGCGUGAGCGAUGAAGGCCUUCGGGUCGUAAAGCUCUGUCCUCAAGGAAGAUAAUGACGGUACUUGAGGAGGAAGCCCCGGCUAACUACGUGCC
rnacentral:rRNA from 1 species